rfam:Bacillus smithii strain DSM 4216, complete genome.
GCGGGUGUGGCGGAAUUGGCAGACGCACCAGAAUCAGGGUCUGGCGCCGCAAGGCGUGGGGGUUCGAGUCCCUUCACCCGCA